rnacentral:rRNA from 1 species
AUUGAACGCUGGCGGCAUGCCUUACACAUGCAAGUCGAACGGUAACAGGGAGCUUGCUCCGCUGACGAGUGGCGAACGGGUGAGUAAUGUAUCGGAACGUACCUUUUAGUGGGGGAUAACGUAGCGAAAGUUACGCUAAUACCGCAUAUUCUCUGAGGAGGAAAGCAGGGGACCUUCGGGCCUUGCGCUAAUAUAGCGGCUGAUAUCAGAUUAGCUAGUUGGUGAGGUAAAGGCUCACCAAGGCGACGAUCUGUAGCGGGUCUGAGAGGAUGAUCCGCCACACUGGAACUGAGACACGGUCCAGACUCCUACGGGAGGCAGCAGUGGGGAAUUUUGGACAAUGGGGGCAACCCUGAUCCAGCCAUGCCGCGUGAGUGAAGAAGGCCUUCGGGUUGUAAAGCUCUUUCGGCCGGGAAAAAAUCGCAUGGGCUAAUACCCUGUGUGGAUGAUGGUACCGGAAUAAGAAGCACCGGCUAACUACGUGCCAGCAGCCGCCGCAG